rnacentral:tRNA from 1 species
GCCGGGGUGGCGCAACUGGCGAGACGCGCGAGGCUUAAAACCUUGUGUCCCGAGAGGGAUAUGUGGGUUCGAAUCCCACCCCCGGCA